GGAGAGGUGUCCGAGCGGUUUAAGGAGCUGGUCUUGAAAACCAGUGUACCCUCUGGGUACCGUGGGUUCGAAUCCCACCCUCUCCGCCA
rnacentral:tRNA from 2 species